UCCAAAAGCUGAAAUUGCCCCAUAAGACGAGAAGACCCUGUGGAGCUUAUUAAACUAACCCCACCACCAUGGAGACUUCGUUUUUAGUUGGGGCGACUAUGGAGCACAAAAGACCCUCCAGAAACCUUCCGCAUAAGAUUAACACAUCGGCUCCCUCGACCCAGUAAGUUUCCCCACUUACCUGAUCAAUGAACCAAGUUACCCCAGGGAUAACAGCGCCAUCCUCUUCAAGAGUCCCCAUCGACAAGAGGGUUUACGACCUCGAUGUUGGAUCAGGACACCCAAAUAGUGCACCCGCUAUUAAUGGUUCGUUUGUUCAACGAUUAAAGUCCUACGUGAU
rnacentral:rRNA from 1 species